rnacentral:rRNA from 1 species
AACGAACGCUGGCGGCGCGUCUUAUACAUGCAAGUCGAACGGCAGGAAGGGGCUUGCCCCUUCUGAGAGUGGCGGACUGGUGAGUAACACGUGGGUGACAUACCUUUUAGAUGGGGAUAGCUAUUAGAAAUAGUAGGUAAUACCGAAUGUGACCGUACCUGUUAGAGGGGUACGAGGAAAGGAGCUAAGGCUUCGCUAAAAGAAUGGCUCGCGGCCCAUUAUGCUCGUUGGUGAGGUAACGGCCCACCAAGGCGAGGAUGGGUAUCCGGCCUGAGAGGGUGAACGGACACACUGGGACUGAGAUACGGCCCAGACUUCUACGGGAGGCAGCAGUUAAGAAUAUUCCGCAAUGGACGAAAGUCUGACGGAGCGACGCCGCGUGGAUGAAGAAUGCCGUAAGGUUGUAAAAUCCUUUUAAGCCUGAUGAAUAAGCACAGUAGGGAAUGAUUGUGCGGUGACCGUAGGGCUUGAAUAAGCACCGGCUAAUUACGUG